GGUGUAUUUCUAUUUCAAGGGGUGGAUGUCUACUCAGUAAUUUCAAAGUAAGUGAUCAAUUUAAACCCAUAGAUUUAUUAUUUUCAUUCUCAUGUCUUAGACCUCAGUAUAUAUGAGAAGGAAAUGGCCUUGCUUUUCAAAGGUUUACAAAGAAUAGAAAGGAAUAAACAAUAAUUUGAAAAUGCUUAAUUAUCUAUUCACACCAUGUUCAAACUUUCAGAAGGGAAGGAAGGUGGGCAAAGGGCAAAAGGGCCUUUUUGUCUUCUCUUUAAGUAACUUUUCCAGAGGUUCCAGAGAAAGAGAGACUGGACUGAGCUGAAUCAAGCUGAAUCAGUCUAGAUUUUGGACUUGCAUGGGGCCUGUAGCUCCUUUGUUGUGGCCAAUGUCUCCCAUUCGGAAUGGCUGUAUUUAUCCAAUGCGUGUACCCCCAUUGUAUCUAGGAAGUAACUAACUUGCUUUUGAUUUUACAGGCUUAUAGGCGGAAGGGACUAGCCUUGUCAGGGCUGCCCCUGCAGCGCGGGCCCCCGAAAUGCCCGCACCGCCCACGCCGCCCGCACCGCGCGCACCCAGCCGGGCCAGGGCGAGGGAUCCAGGUCUCCCGGUCUCUCAGGGCGCGCGCCCGGGGUCCGGGGGUGGGGGGCGUGGAGGCGGUUCCCUUGGAGCGCCCAAUCAGCAGUAAGGCCCGGCGGUGGCGCCAGUGACGUAGACCGCGCUUCCCUCCGCCCCACUGCGGGCCGUCGCUCUUGUUGGUUUUGGACUUUGCAAAUAAUUUAUCUCAGUCUUUUAUCAGUUACCUUCAUCCAUGAUAUCAUUUACGGAGCAGAAAUCCUUAGUUUCGACAUGAUCAACUGAAAGGGUUUUUGUCUUAUGGUUUAUACUUAAAGAUUUUAUUAAAGAAGUUAUCCUCCAUUCCAUUGCCAAAAGAUAUUCUGAUAUAUUUUCUUCUAUUAAUUUUACAGUUUUUCCUUUUGUAUUAAGGUCUUUAAUUCACAAAUGUACUUUUAAAGUUAGCCGCUUAGAUACCACAUCAUUAUGGAUGGUCUGUGAAGAUCAGAUGUUGAAUCAGAUGAGCACUGAGGUUCCUCAUACACUGAGAUUCUCCCGUUCUCAGGUGAUCCACCUGCCUCGGCCUCCCAAAGUGCUGGGAUUACAGGCAUGGGCCACUGUGCCUGGCCUGUUUUUCAUUUUUUACAAGUGCCUGGAGGAUAUAUGUAAAGCCUAUAUUACUGAUAGGGUCAUCAUUGUAAUAAUGUUGGAAUUCAACUUUUACUCUCAAACCAUUUUCACAUCUAUAAUGUCAUUUUGUCCUCACAAUCUGUUCUUAUUUGAGGGAAAGGUAAAAUGCUUUUAAUAAAUGAAGAAAGCCAUUUACUUGGUUAAACAAAGGUCUCUUAUGGGACCUGGACAGCUGUUUGAACAGAUGUGCAUGUGAAGAGCAGAACAGAGGUGGCCAUAGCAGCCUAAUUGCCUGGACUACUCCUGAAUGCUUUAGGGGAAUAAAAAUAUCUACCUAUGUAUCUAUCUAUAGAAAAUAAUUAGCCAAAUGUAGCCCAAUGUUGACACCUGGGUAAAGAGGAUAUGAGAGUUCUUUGUAUUAUUUCAGCAACUUUUCUGUAUCUUUCGCCACAAACACCAGUAAUGCCUUGCCCCAUGUCACUAAACCAUAGAAAUUUUAAACAGGUUGAAAGUUUCAUUGGAUAAGAGAAGAAUUUGGCAUCCUGAUGGCAAGGGUUGGCUUCAGGCACAAUUGUGAUGGGGGUGAGAUUGGUCUUCAGCAGCCCCUACCUCCAGCACCCUGGCCUUCAGGAACCCAUGGCCCCAGGUUCCGUUAGUUUUGUGCAGUAUUUCC
rnacentral:lncRNA from 1 species